rnacentral:rRNA from 1 species
GAUGAACGCUGGCGGCGUGCCUAAUACAUGCAAGUCGAGCGAACGGACGAGAAGCUUGCUUCUCUGAUGUUAGCGGCGGACGGGUGAGUAACACGUGGAUAACCUACCUAUAAGACUGGGAUAACUUCGGGAAACCGGAGCUAAUACCGGAUAAUAUUUUGAACCGCAUGGUUCAAAAGUGAAAGACGGUCUUGCUGUCACUUAUAGAUGGAUCCGCGCUGCAUUAGCUAGUUGGUAAGGUAACGGCUUACCAAGGCAACGAUGCAUAGCCGACCUGAGAGGGUGAUCGGCCACACUGGAACUGAGACACGGUCCAGACUCCUACGGGAGGCAGCAGUAGGGAAUCUUCCGCAAUGGGCGAAAGCCUGACGGAGCAACGCCGCGUGAAUGAUGAAGGUCUUCGGAUCGUAAAACUCUGUUAUUAGGGAAGAACAUAUGUGUAAGUAACUGUGAACAUCUUGACGGUACCUAAUCAGAAAGCCACGGCUAACUACGUG